rnacentral:tRNA from 1 species
GAGCCUUAGUAGAGAAAUUUGCUAAGUGACUGUUUUCACAUUCAGGGAAACCUAACUUUUGAAAUAUUAGGUAAUCCUGAGCCAAAUUUUAGUUAUAAAAUAGGUGCAGAGACUCGAAGGAAACUAUCCUAACGAAAAAUUAUUUCUCUAUUUUUUUUAUUACGAGUAUUGAUUCAGUACAGAGUACAUAAUAUUUUCGAAAUAAUAAAAACACUUGAAUACUAAUAUUGUAUUCAUCUUAAUUUUUAAAUAAAUCAGAAUAGACGAGGAUAAAGAUAGAGUCCUUUUUUACAGUCUAUAUAAUUUUUAUUUAUAGAUAAUUGUAAAAAGAAAAUCCGUUGGCUUUAAUAGACCUUGAGGGUUCAAGUCCCUCUACCCCCA